rnacentral:rRNA from 1 species
GACGAACGCUGGCGGCGUGCUUAACACAUGCAAGUCGAACGGAAAGGCCCUGCUUUUGUGGGGUGCUCGAGUGGCGAACGGGUGAGUAACACGUGAGUAACCUGCCCUUGACUUUGGGAUAACUUCAGGAAACUGGGGCUAAUACCGGAUAGGAGCUCCUGCUGCAUGGUGGGGGUUGGAAAGUUUCGGCGGUUGGGGAUGGACUCGCGGCUUAUCAGCUUGUUGGUGGGGUAGUGGCUUACCAAGGCUUUGACGGGUAGCCGGCCUGAGAGGGUGACCGGCCACAUUGGGACUGAGAUACGGCCCAGACUCCUACGGGAGGCAGCAGUGGGGAAUAUUGCACAAUGGGCGGAAGCCGGAUGCAGCAACGCCGCGUGCGGGAUGACGGCCUUCGGGUUGUAACCCGCUUUCGCCUGUGACGAAGCGUGAGUGACGGUAAUGGGUAAAGAAGCACCGGCUAACUACGUG